AACAGGCUGGGUGUGGUGGCUCACAUCUGCAAUCCCAGCACUUUGGGAGGCCAAGGCAGGCGGAUCUCUUGAGUCUGGCCAUUCCAGACCAGCCUGCACAACAGAGUGAGACCCCAUUCUCUAC